AUUGAACGCUGGCGGCAGGCUUAACACAUGCAAGUCGAACGGUAACAUAAAGAAGCUUGCUUCUUUGAUGACGAGUGGCGGACGGGUGAGUAAUGCUUGGGAAUCUAGCUUAUGGAGGGGGAUAACUACGGGAAACUGUAGCUAAUACCGCGUAGUAUCGGAAGAUGAAAGUGUGGGACCUUCGGGCCACAUGCCAUAGGAUGAGCCCAAGUGGGAUUAGGUAGUUGGUGAAGUAAAGGCUCACCAAGCCGACGAUCUCUAGCUGGUCUGAGAGGAUGACCAGCCACACUGGGACUGAGACACGGCCCAGACUCCUACGGGAGGCAGCAGUGGGGAAUAUUGCGCAAUGGGGGCAACCCUGACGCAGCCAUGCCGCGUGAAUGAAGAAGGCCUUCGGGUUGUAAAGUUCUUUCGGUAGCGAGGAAGGCAUUUAGUUUAAUAAACUAGGUGAUUGACGUUAACUACAGAAGAAGCACCGGCUAACUCCGUGCCAGCAGCCGCGGUAAUACGGAGGGUGCGAGCGUUAAUCGGAAUAACUGGGCGUAAAGGGCACGCAGGCGGUGACUUAAGUGAGGUGUGAAAGCCCCGGGCUUAACCUGGGAAUUGCAUUUCAUACUGGGUCGCUAGAGUACUUUAGGGAGGGGUAGAAUUCCACGUGUAGCGGUGAAAUGCGUAGAGAUGUGGAGGAAUACCGAAGGCGAAGGCAGCCCCUUGGGAAUGUACUGACGCUCAUGUGCGAAAGCGUGGGGAGCAAACAGG
rnacentral:rRNA from 1 species